CAAGGAAGAGAUCAAGACAUCAAGACAACUGUGAGGAUCCCAGAGAAGGGGGAUUGCGUUGCAGUGGAUACAUUUCUAGUAAACAAUUUUGUUCAGGGCUGGAGCCGUUUUAGAGGAUGCAUUUGGAAUCUGAAGAGUUGGCUCAUAUCCAGUUAAAAAAUGACUUCCAGGCACCUGGAAUGUAUGACCGUGAUUGCUAUUCAUGGCAAUAAUAAUAUUCUCAGAGUGAAUAAGCUCAGUCAAUCACAAGAGCAUUUUUAUUUCUCCUGAUAGUUAGAACAGAGUUCUAAUGUCCUUUGUGUCCUAAUAAAGCUAGAGGUAAUCACAAAGGGGCUGUGCUCACCAUCAGUCCACAUGAUUCUCUAAGCUUUUUGUCUUGCUUCUCUCUUUCAGAGUCGACAAAGAGUGUUCUAUGACUGUUCACCAGCCCUGGACAAAACUGCCAGCUUGACUGGACCUCUUUCAUUCCAUAAUUUGGAAGGUGGGCUACCAUUUGCAAGAAGAAGAAACCAAGGCAGAGAAAAAUUGAGUACUUGCUCAAGCUCCCACAGCUGAAACCUGGCUUGAGACACUGGUCCAGAACUAUGUUCAGGAAUCUGAGUCUUAUGGGCAGAAGCAUCAUCCACGGUUACAGAUUUCGGCGGCUUAUCCUGGUUCAUCUAGUUAAUGGAGUAAAUUAAAAACACACAUGGCUGUCUUAGAUAAUCUUUGAAGAGGAUGGUGAUAUAUUACUCUCAAACUCCAUUCCAGGAAGAGCAUCUGCCAUUUAAAGAUUGCCAGGCACUUUUUGGCUUGUAUUAGAUGGACACCUUGGUCACCUGGAGAUACAGUGGCCUCAAAUAAUAAAGAGCAAAAAGACAAAACUUCCCUUUGCUGCAGCCAAAACCUCUUCACUGGAUAGUUUUGUGGAUAAAGCCUCCUGAAUUUUUAAACCUGGAAGGUGGGGGUGAAGAUUGUUGGAGAGGUUGAACAGAUAAGCCACGGUGAGGACGGUUCAGCUGCUCUUUCCUCUAAUUUAUCAGAGACUUUUCGGCUUUACGCUCACACAGCUUUGCUGCCAGAGGACUUGAGAGCAGAUUUGGUGGUUAACAUGAAGAAUAGUUCCUUUCAAGUACCUGGGCACAUCUGGUCCCUUCACUACCUCCACAUUGGCAGUACUCUGACAUUUCAUUCUCAGGACCCCUUUUAUCCAAAGUUACUGAAAACCUCAAGGAGAUUUUGGGUAAUGUUUAUCAUCUACUGUAAUUGAAAGUAAAACAGAGUGACUUUAGAACAUGAGAAUCCACAAGCACACAUUCCAUUAGCUGUCAAAAGAAUGACAUCAUCACUCAUCAGGAAGUCUCUGGAAAACCUCACCAUUCACUUGUGAGAGAAUGAAAAUAAAAAGGUAAAUAGCAUCAGAGCAUUAUUAUAACUGGGCCUUGAAGAACUAAAAAGGCCUUAGGGGACCCCCAGAGGUCCCCAGGCUACAGUUUGAGAACCACUGCUUUAUAUUUUCAGUUUUAUCUUGGUUCUGUUUUACAUGGCAUUGAGU